rnacentral:rRNA from 1 species
UUCGCUGACGAGUGGCGGACGGGUGAGUAAUGUCUGGGAAACUGCCUGAUGGAGGGGGAUAACUACUGGAAACGGUAGCUAAUACCGCAUAACGUCGCAAGACCAAAGAGGGGGACCUUCGGGCCUCUUGCCAUCGGAUGUGCCCAGAUGGGAUUAGCUAGUAGGUGGGGUAACGGCUCACCUAGGCGACGAUCCCUAGCUGGUCUGAGAGGAUGACCAGCCACACUGGAACUGAGACACGGUCCAGACUCCUACGGGAGGCAGCAGUGGGGAAUAUUGCACAAUGGGCGCAAGCCUGAUGCAGCCAUGCCGCGUGUAUGAAGAAGGCCUUCGGGUUGUAAA